rnacentral:rRNA from 1 species
GGCUCAGGAUGAACGCUAGCGGCAGGCUUAACACAUGCAAGUCGAGGGGCAGCAUGAUGUAGCAAUACAUUGAUGGCGACCGGCGCAAGGGUGCGUAACGCGUGAGUAACAUGCCCGUAUCAGGGGGAUAACCCGAAGAAAUUCGGACUAAUACCCCAUAGUAAUUUGUGGAGGCAUCUCUAUAAAUUUAAAGCUCCGGCGGAUACGGAUUGACUCGCGUGACAUUAGCUAGAUGGUAAGGUAACGGCUUACCAUGGCAACGAUGUCUAGGGGAACUGAGAGGUUGGUCCCCCACACUGGGACUGAGACACGGUCCAGACUCCUACGGGAGGCAGCAGUGAGGAAUAUUGGUCAAUGGACGAGAGUCUGAACCAGCCAAGUAGCGUGCAGGAUGACGGCCCUCUGGGUUGUAAACUGCUUUUAGUUGGGAAUAAAAAGAGGGCGUGUCCCUUAUUGUAUGUACCAUCAGAAAAAGGACCGGCUAAUUCCGUG